rnacentral:lncRNA from 1 species
GGGCUGCCCUCCAUCAUAUCCACCUCCGGGUUGGAGGGAAUGGGGUCAGCUUAAUCUCUAGUCUUGUAGGACGGGGCUGCUGAAAAUUCAGAGCCCGUUUCCUCAUCGCCUAAGGAUGUGUGAGCCCGCACACCCUCUCUAGGGAGGAGGGCUCACGUGUUUGAGUCAACGGUAUGGACUGUUCCAAGGGAAUGUCCAUGUCUUCCCCAAUAUCCCUUCAUCUCCUGAGACGGCGUCCUUAGAUUAUGCCUCAGAAGCUGAGGCUAUCACCAAGAGUACGUCCUCUAGAUGGAUGUCCUCCUGAAAAAAAGGCCACCGCUGCUUCCUCUCCUUCAAAGGAUGGAGGGCGCAGCUGGCACAUUGCGGGGGAUCCGUGAGGCCGCUCCUGGUGUGCUGUGGUCCCAAACCCAAGAAACAUAGGUCGCGUGAGUCCACAAACACCGCCAUUGAAGAGCAGCUACACUGAGCUCUGACUGAGCUUUUGGGGGUGUUAGUUUCCAACCCUGCUCCUAAACUUGUGUUAACGUCAGACUUUAUUUUCGCUGUUUAUUCCAAAACGUUAUUCUUUCCCUAUUUAUUUUUCCCAAAGGGAUGGCUGAAUGAACCAGAGAUUUCCGAGUUCCCAGUUGUUCUGAACAUGGCACCAGUUGUCUUGAAAGCACCACAAACCCGCAAAGUAGGCUUAGUCUUGCUAUGCUUUCAAACCUGCAGUAAACAUGCACGACAGAAACAAACCAUUUUAGCUUCUCAUGCAUUGAAAAAUGCAUCCUUUCGUUGUAUCCCCCCUCCCCAACAAAAACAGAAGAAUGAAAAAAUGUAUAGGCCUACAGAAGUAUGAAUGGGUGCAACACCCUUACGGGCAUGAUACACUAGCACAGGAUGCAGCGCGGUGAAACACCGCUUCCCAUUCAUUUCAAUGGAAGGAAAGUGGAGAGGGCAGGGGACCUUUGGGCGGUGUGAAGGUAGUGUGGGAGGCGGUGAAAAAAAUACACUUUUCCCAACAUUAUGCAAAUCACCAUCGGCGACUGCUGGGCGAUGACCAAUCAUAGAGUGGUUCCCAUGACGAAUUUGACGCUAUGCGACCCAAGGCUGGAGACUUUCUUCAGCAAAGAUGGCAGACAAAAAUACUAGGAUGGAAGCAAAUGGACUCCUGAAACAACCAGCAAACCAGGCUGUCAUCUUGUGAAACAGUGGAUCUAAAGAAUCUUGCUAGCUAAAGCAUUUACUGCAAAUUGAAUGUACAAGUUUGUAAGCUUGCCUUGCUGAUAUUUGCUAUGCAAUGCAGAUAGAUUAAAUAACGUAGCUAGCUAUGUUCUUGCUUAUUGUGCAGUGGCAGAUAAAAAUACCUGUAUGCCUAUGGAUGUGUAGCUAGCUAUCUAGCUGAUCUGUGUAUGGACCCA